AAGCAGAUGAUGAGAUUCUUGGAUUCCCCUUCAAGACAUCAAGGGUGAUGCAAAAACCAAGUUCCUGAUGCC